CCUUUAAUUGUAGGGUAUACGGGAAGUGUAGGGACUGCAUUGUGUCUUAACAUAACGAAUUGCUUAUAGGGCCUACAAUGUAGGCCCUAUAUUUGUCUUAACUAACAUACGGCCGUUGUCUACAUCUGGGCCGCGUUCCGUUGGGGACCGUAAGGCUUACAGUAUGGCAUACUUCCCCCGAAUCGGGGGGGGACCAGCAUACAGCUCGCCUUGCGGAAGCGUGCGCGACCUUGCGCUCCUCGGAGGUGAAUGUUUGGCGGUGUCUGGCAACUGUUGUUUAUCAACAAAUCGCAGACGGCCGCCGCUUCACCACUAUAUUUUCAGUGUGGGGGAUGUAAAUGCUAUUUUGACAGCUUAUGCGACGUCACAGAACAUCAAAAACAAUGUGCCUCUGAGGCAUAAGAGACAGCCUCUACCGCCAUGGUAGCUGCUGCAGAGGCCCCUCCAGCACCUGUGGCUGCAGGGACAGUUUCCCUUUGCAUUCGAAAGUGUUUCUUGAAUUCUUUCCCGGAGUAAAGAGGCACUAUAGUGUCUGCAUAGUCCUUGACCCGCACAGGACUUGGCGGCCUAUCCUCUCCCUCUUCUCCUUGCCUUGGCAGCCUCUCUUCUCCCUCUUCCUCUUGCCUCAGCAAUAUUUCCUCCUCUCGUGCUACGAGGAGCUCUGCAGCGUCCAACAGAGGGUCUUUUGCGAGCUCUUGAGCGAGGAGGAGGAGAGCCAGCUUGGACGGCCAUCUUGUCAACCAUACCCGUAUGGCUAUACGCGUUCCCUUGCGUUCC